rnacentral:rRNA from 1 species
GACGAACGCUGGCGGCGUGCUUAACGCAUGCAAGUCGAGCGGUAAGGCCCUUUCGGGGGUACACGAGCGGCGAACGGGUGAGUAACACGUGGGUGACCUGCCCUCAGCUCUGGGAUAAGCCUGGGAAACUGGGUCUAAUACUGGAUAUGACUCCACGGUGCAUGUCGUGGGGUGGAAAGCCUUGUGCGGCUGAGGAUGGGCCCGCGGCCUAUCAGCUUGUUGGUGGGGUGAUGGCCUACCAAGGCGACGACGGGUAGCCGGCCUGAGAGGGCGACCGGCCACACUGGGACUGAGACACGGCCCAGACUCCUACGGGAGGCAGCAGUGGGGAAUCUUGCGCAAUGGGCGAAAGCCUGACGCAGCGACGCCGCGUGAGGGAUGACGGCCU